GCAUCGGUGGCUCAGUGGUAGAAUGCUCGCCUGCAACGUUCGAUUCCCGGCCGAUGCA
rnacentral:tRNA from 1 species